rnacentral:rRNA from 1 species
AACGAACGCUGGCGGCAGGCUUAACACAUGCAAGUCGAGCGGAGAUGAGGUGCUUGCACCUUAUCUUAGCGGCGGAUGGGUGAGUAAUGCUUAGGAAUCUGCCUAUUAGUGGGGGACAACAUUCCGAAAGGAAUGCUAAUACCGCAUACGCCCUACGGGGGAAAGCAGGGGAUCUUCGGACAUUGCGCUAAUAGAUGAGCCUAAGUCGGAUUAGCUAGUUGGUGGGGUAAAGGUCUACCAAGGCGACGAUCUGUAGCGGGUCUGAGAGGAUGGCCCGCCACACUGGGACUGAGACACGGCCCAGACUCCUACGGGAGGCAGCAGUGGGGAAUAUUGGACAAUGGGCGGAAGCCUGAUCCAGCCAUGCCGCGUGUGUGAAGAAGGCCUUUUGGUUGUAAAGCACUUUAAGCGAGGAGGAGGCUACCUGGAUUAAUACUCUAGGAUAGUGAACGUUACUCGCAGAAUAAGCACCGGCUAACUCUGUGCCAGCAGCCGCCGUAAGAC